GAUGAACGCUGGCGGCGUGCCUAAUACAUGCAAGUCGAGCGAACGGACGAGAAGCUUGCUUCUCUGAUGUUAGCGGCGGACGGGUGAGUAACACGUGGGUAACCUACCUAUAAGACAGGGAUAACUUCGGGAAAGCGGAGCUAAUACCGGGUAAUAUUUUGAACCGCAUGGUUCAAAAGUGAAAGACGGUCUUGCUGUCACUUAUAGAUGGAUCCGCGCUGCAUUAGCUAGUUGGUAAGGUAACGGCUUAACAAGGCAACGAUGCAUAGCCGACCUGAGAGGGUGGUCGGCCACCCUAGAAGUGAGACAGGGUCCAGACACCGACGGGAGGCAGCAGUAGGGAAUCUUACGCAAUGGGCGAAAGCCGGACGGAGCAACGCCGCGUGAGUGAUGAAGGUGUUCGGAUGGGAAAACUCUGUUAUUAGGGAAGAACAUAUGUGUAAGUAACUGUGCACAUCUUGACGGUACCUAAUCAGAAAGCCACGGCUAACUACGUG
rnacentral:rRNA from 1 species